CUCCUCGCUCGCAUUGAGAAUCCCGUCCAGUAACAGCCAGGACAAAAAAGGAACCACUGACAACCACGAAUGCUUUUCCUGCCCUCUGCCCCGGCUCAGUAUCAGAAGGCCAGACACCUACACCGCCGCAGAAAGCCACUGGCAACCGCCGCUGCACUCACGGCCGAUACACCGUUCCGUGCAUGCCCAGUGCUCUCCAGCUAGAGAGGGCCCUUGCUCCCGCGGCCAGCACCACCCCCACCUCGCCGUUAAAACAGGGCCCAAGCGCUGGGCAUCAAAAACCCAGACAGCAACAACCCACGGCAGCAGGAGAGCGCGGCCCGGCGAGGCAGAGAAAGAGCCGGAGCGCCCCCUGGUGGCCGCGGGGCUGCCCUUCCUGCACUGCGCCCGAAGGAAGGCUGAGCCGCUUGCUUCCACCUUCCACCUCCCAAAUGAUCAUACGGUCCAACAAAGAGCUCAGUUCAGGAGUAGAAACUCAUUUUCGUACAGCAGGAGUGAAGGAACGUGCGGCUGACGUAAAUGCCAGUAAGUACCAACGGAAGGAAUGCUCAGGAAACUGGGCCCCAAGGAGCCGCACGUGCUGCCUUUGACGGUCUCUGCAGCUAUGGGGACGAUGACCCGGCUGUCAUGUACUCUGGCGCGUUGUGCAGGUGCUCUUCUGAUGCACCAGCCCCGCUAAAUCAUCCCGCUGUGAUGACGGAACGAAGCGACUCCCAAAGGCACACCCAAGAGCAAACGCUCUCUGGGGUCUGUCAUUUCGUAGGUUUCAUUGGGCUUCCUCCUUCUCUUAAGUUCCAUUCCCUGAGCCAAGCAGGAGGCAAGUGGUCAAAAAAAAAGGAAAAGGUCUAAAAUAAAAUAUGGUUCCUGGAAAACAGCCCCGC